rnacentral:rRNA from 1 species
UACGGGGGGAGCAAGCGUUGUUCGGAUUUACUGGGCGUAAAGGGCGCGUAGGGCCACCGCAAGUCAGUUGUGAAAUCUCUGGGCUUAACCCAGAACGGUCAGCUGAUACUGCGGGGCUAGAGUGCAGAAGGGGCAACUGGAAUUCUCGGUGUAGCGGUGAAAUGCGUAGAUAUCGAGAGGAACACCUGCGGCGAAGGCGGGUUGCUGGGCUGACACUGACGCUGACAGCGCGAAAGCUAGGGGAGCGAACGGG